rnacentral:rRNA from 1 species
UACAGAGGUCUCAAGCGUUAAUUCGGAGUUACGUGGGCUUGAAAGGGUGACGGUAGGCGGCGCUGUAAGUGCUUUGUGAAAUCCCAUGGCUUAACCAUGGAAUUGCUCGGCAGACUGCAGCGCUUGAGGUUGGUAGGGGUCGCUGGAACUCUAGGUGGAGCGGUGAAAUGCGUAGAUAUCUAGAGGAACGCCAAAGGUGUAGACAGGCGACUGGGCCAAUUCUGACGCUGAGGCACGGAAAGCGUGGGUAGCGAACGGG